CCCGCUGAACUUAAGCAUAUCAAUAAGCGGAGGAAAAGAAACUAACAAGGAUUCCCCUAGUAACUGCGAGUGAACCGGGAAAAGCUCAAAUUUUGAAUCUGGCGGUCUUCAGGCCGUCCGAGUUGUAAUCUAGAGAAGCGUCUUCCGCGCUGGACCGUGUAUAAGUUUCCUGGAAUGGAACGUCGUAGAGGGUGAGAAUCCCGUCUUUGACACGGACUGCCAGGGCUAUGUGAUGCGCUCUCGACGAGUCGAGUUGUUUGGGAAUGCAGCUCAAAUAGGGUGGUAAAUUCCAUCUAAAGCUAAAUACAGGCGAGAGACCGAUAGCGAACAAGUACCGUGAGGGAAAGAUGAAAAGAACUUUGGAAAGAGAGUUAAACAGUACGUGAAAUUGUUGAAAGGGAAACGCUUGAAGUCAGUCGCGUUGCCCAGAAAUCAACCUUGCUUUUGCUUGGUGUACUUUCUGGUUAACGGGUCAGCAUCAAUUUUGACCGGUGGAUAAAGGUCAGGGGAAAUGUGGCAUCUUCGGAUGUGUUAUAGCCCUUGGUUGCAUACAUCGAUUGGGAUUGAGGAACUCAGCAUGCCGCAAGGCCGGGUUUUUAACCACGUACGUGCUUAGGAUGCUGGCAUAAUGGCUUUAAUCGACCCGUCUUGAAACACGG
rnacentral:rRNA from 1 species